rnacentral:rRNA from 1 species
UGCAAGUCUUGAGUGUUGUUGAAGUAGCUGGAAUAAGUAGUGUAGCGGUGAAAUGCAUAGAUAUUACUUAGAACACCAAUUGCGAAGGCAGGUUACUAAGCAACAACUGACGCUGAUGGACGAAAGCGUGGGGAGCGAACAGGAUUAGAUACCCUGGUAGUCCACGCCGUAAACGAUGCUAACUCGUUUUUGGGGUGCAAGCUUCAGAGACUAAGCGAAAGUGAUAAGUUAGCCACCUGGGGAGUACGAACGCAAGUUUGAAACUCAAAGGAAUUGACGGGGGCCCGCACAAGCGGUGGAUUAUGUGGUUUAAUUCGAUGAUACGCGAGGAACCUUACCAAGGCUUAAAUGGGAAAUGACAGGUUUAGAAAUAGACUUUUCUUCGGACAUUUUUCAAGGUGCUGCAUGGUUGUCGUCAGCUCGUGCCGUGAGGUGUUAGGUUAAGUCCUGCAACGAGCGCAACCCCUGUCACUAGUUGCCAUCAUUAAGUUGGGGACUCUAGUGAGACUGCCUACGCAAGUAGAGAGGAAGGUGGGGAUGACGUCAAAUCAUCACGGCCCUUACGCCUUGGGCCACACACGUAAUACAAUGGCCGGUACAGAGGGCAGCUACACAGCGAUGUGAUGCAAAUCUCGAAAGCCGGUCUCAGUUCGGAUUGGAGUCUGCAACUCGACUCUAUGAAGCUGGAAUCGCUAGUAAUCGCGCAUCAGCCAUGGCGCGGUGAAUACGUUCCCGGGCCUUGUACACACCGCCCGUCAAGCCAUGGAAGUCUGGGGUACCUGAAGUCGGUGACCGU